rnacentral:rRNA from 1 species
AGAGGGUGCGAGCGUUAAUCGGAAUUACUGGGGCGUAAAGCGUACGUAGGCGGUUAAUUAAGUCAGUUGUGAAAUCCCAGGGGCUCAACCUUGGGAACUGCAAUUGAAACUGUUUAACUAGAGUCGAAGAGAGGGGAGCGGAAUUUCCGGUGUAGCGGUGAAAUGCGUAGAUAUCGGAAGGAACACCAGUGGCGAAGGCGGCUCUCUGGCUUCAGACUGACGCUGAGGUACGAAAGCGUGGGUAGCGAACAGGAUUGGAUACCCUGGUAGUCCACGCUGUAAACGAUGAGUACUAGCUGUUGUGAGGCAUAGCUUUGCAGUAGCGCAGCUAACGCAUUAAGUACUCCGCCUGGGGAUUACGGCCGCAAGGCUA